UACGUAGGGGGCAAGCGUUGUCCGGAUUUAUUGGGCGUAAAGAGCGUGUAGGCGGCCUGAAAGGUCAGCUGUGAAAACUCGAGGCUCAACCUCGAGCUGUCGGUGGAAACUGUGUGGCUAGAGUCCGGAAGAGGAGAGUGGAAUUCCCGGUGUAGCGGUGAAAUGCGCAGAUAUCGGGAAGAACACCCGUGGCGAAGGCGGCUCUCUGGGACGGUACUGACGCUGAGACGCGAAAGCGUGGGGAGCGAACAGG
rnacentral:rRNA from 1 species